UCAACCUGGGAACUGCAUUCGAAACUGGCACGUUAUAGUCUUGUAUAGGGGGGUAGAAUUCCAGGUGUAGCGGUGAAAUGCGUAGAGAUCUGGAGGAAUACCGGUGGCGAAGGCGGCCCCCUGGACAAAGACUGACGCUCAGGUGCGAAAGCGUGGGGAGCAAACAGGAUUAGAUACCCUGGUAGUCCACGCCGUAAACGAUGUCGACUUGGAGGUUGUGCCCUUGAGGCGUGGCUUCCGGAGCUAACGCGUUAAGUCGACCGCCUGGGGAGUACGGCCGCAAGGUUAAAACUCAAAUGAAUUGACGGGGGCCCGCACAAGCGGUGGAGCAUGUGGUUUAAUUCGAUGCAACGCGAAGAACCUUACCUACUCUUGACAUCCAGAGAACUUUCCAGAGAUGCAUUGGUGCCUUCGGGAACUCUGAGACAGGUGCUGCAUGGCUGUCGUCAGCUCGUGUUGUGAAAUGUUGGGUUUAAGUCCCGCAACGAGCGCAACCCUUUAUCCUUUUGUUGCCAGCGGUUUAGGCCGGGGA
rnacentral:rRNA from 1 species